UACGUAGGGGGCAAGCGUUGUCCGGGAUCAUUGGGCGUAAAGAGCGUGUAGGCGGCUUGGUAAGUCCGCUGUGAAAGUCCAGGGCUCAACCCUGGAAAGCCGGUGGAAACUGUCAAGCUUGAGUCCGGAAGAGGCGAGUGGAAUUCCUGGUGUAGCGGUGAGAUGCGCAGAUAUCAGGAGGAACACCAAUGGCGAAGGCAGCUCGCUGGGACGGUACUGACGCUGAGACGCGAAAGCGUGGGGAGCAAACAGG
rnacentral:rRNA from 1 species